rnacentral:tRNA from 5 species
UAGCUAAUAACUUAAUUGGUGGAGUUUCAACUUGAUAAGUUGACUGUUAAAGGUUCAAGUCCUUUUUAGCUAA